rnacentral:rRNA from 1 species
CGCGGCCUAUCAGCUUGUUGGUGGGGUAAUGGCCUACCAAGGCGACGACGGGUAGCCGACCUGAGAGGGUGAUCGGCCACACUGGGACUGAGACACGGCCCAGACUCCUACGGGAGGCAGCAGUGGGGAAUAUUGCACAAUGGGCGCAAGCCUGAUGCAGCGACGCCGCGUGAGGGAUGACGGCCUUCGGGUUGUAAACCUCUUUCAGCAGGGACGAAGCGCGAGUGACGGUACCUGCAGAAGAAGCACCGGCCAACUACGUGCCAGCAGCCGCGGUAAUACGUAGGGUGCGAGCGUUGUCCGGAAUUACUGGGCGUAAAGAGCUCGUAGGCGGUUUGUCGCGUCGUCUGUGAAAUUCUGCAGCUUAACUGCAGGCGUGCAGGCGAUACGGGCAGACUUGAGUACUACAGGGGAGACUGGAAUUCCUGGUGUAGCGGUGAAAUGCGCAGAUAUCAGGAGGAACACCGGUGGCGAAGGCGGGUCUCUGGGUAGUAACUGACGCUGAGGAGCGAAAGCGUGGGUAGCGAACAGGAUUAGAUACCCUGGUAGUCCACGCCGUAAACGGUGGGUACUAGGUGUGGGUUCCAUUUCACGGGAUCCGUGCCGUAGCUAACGCAUUAAGUACCCCGCC